rnacentral:lncRNA from 1 species
CACCUAUAUCCCCACUUGUCUUCUCUUCACCAUCACCACCGAAGCACCACCUCCUCCAUCAGCCAACACCUCAAAAUUCUUCAAGAAAAAAAAUAGAGAAAUCAAAAUGCAAAUCCCCUAUAUAAGCUUCACCCUUGAAUAUGCUAAAAACACCAUAAAAAACACUUGCCCUCUUACGGGAGAUUUGAACUCCUCCCAACUUUAUAUCAAAGCUCUUACCUUCUCCAUUCAACUAGCUUGGUUCAAUCUUGGAGCCACUUCUUGAAGGAGGUAACAUUGUAUCCUUGUGUUCCUCAUUUUCUUCAUCCUCUUUUUCUUUCUCUAAAAACCCUCUUUUCUUUUGAAGGUUUUUCUUUGUUCGGCCAAACACUCUUGAUAGGUAAUAAAUCUCGAAUUUCUUGCUGCAAUCGAAGGGUAUCAUAGUAUGGAAAAGGAUUUUUGAAAUUACCAAAAAGAUUUCUUCACUUUUCGAAAAAUUAGGGCUUUUUGUGUAAAAUCCGAAAUCUUGUGCUAAUCUUGUUAUUUGUGUUCUUGCAUGUCUAAUCCAUGUUAUAAUCUGCGAAUCUAAGCAUUUUGAAUUUUUGGAAUUUUUGGAAAAAGAAAAUGAGUUUUCAAGAUUUUUGGGGUUGCAUGUGUAGAUCCAUGAUUUUUUAGGACUAAUCUGCAAUUUCUUGAAAUUUCAGCAAUUAAAAAUGUUUUCAUCUUUAAUAUCUCAGUAGGUGUAAGUUGAAUUUGAUUAUUUGCUAUUUGGCCUUAGUUUUGGAUUAAUAUUUGUUGGGAAAAUCAUUUUUGGCUUCAACACUACUUGCCGAGUAUUUUAAUUUUUAUAAAUCCGAUUUUUGAGGAAACUGCAAAAUUCUUUUUGCAUCUGUUCAGUUAAUCAGUUAGGCAGCCUAUAAUUAAAUUUGAGAAUUUUUAGAUGCUAUUUGCUAUUAUUUCGAAAUAUUGCUUGUGCAUGUGUCAUAAAUAGAACUUUUGUGUUUUAAUCAUUAUGCCUUGUGUAUUAAUUGUGAGGAUGUGAAUUGAUGGUUAAAAAUCUGCAUCUGAACUAUGUUAAGGGGCUGUAAGAAUUUUAAUUCAUUAAAUGAAUAAAAGUGGGAGAAAUCCCAUAAAUUAAAGUGUGUUUUGGGGCUGCAUGUUGUGUGUGUGUAUGUGUGCCGUGUGUGUGUGUGUGUGAUUUAUAUAAAUAUAUAAUAUGAUAAUAAUGUGAAUUAUGUGUUAUGCUUAAGUGGUUAUAUAUAUAUGUGUGUGUAUGAUAUGUGUGUGAUUGCCGUGUGUAUUAUGUGGAUAAUUGGAUUUAUUUGUAUGCUCGUUGAUUGAUAUUUGUGAUGUCGUAAAGUGGUCAUUUUUAGAGUCUCAUUCGUCUCAUGGUCUUGCAUAAAAAGAAAUUUCAUUUUUACGAAAGGAAAGGUUAAUGGAAUGCUUGGGUUGGAUAAGUCGGGAUACGGGGGGCCGGUAUCCCAACCAUAGUUACUGUAGAUAAAUGGGUGGUUUGAUCCCACCAAAAGAACGGGCUCAGAAUAAUAAGCUUAUCAUCCAAGUAACGAAGUUAAUUUUUCACGGAUCCGAACAUCAGAAAAUGUUUUCAUUCGUGCAUUUGCACGAAACGGGUAAAAUGGUAAAUUUUAGCCUUUGAGUCGAAAAAAAGGGCAAAUUGGUAAUUUUCAGUAUUUGCGUCGAUUUACGUGCUUAAAUGAAAUUUCGUGUUUAUGUGUGUGUGUUCGUUUGCCGACGAAUGGUAAGGUGUGAUGCUUAUGUGUAUAUACUAAUAUAAGUACCUAAAACCAUAUUUUAAAACCUCGUUAUCCAUUCGGAUUUCUUACUGGGCUUAAUAGCUCAUAUAGAUACUUCUUUGAUUGCAGGUAGUAGUAGAAAUCCCGCAUCGGAAUGGACCGAGUAGUGGAUCAGAGUCUUGGCCGAAGCUUUUGGAGGGUCGUACGAGGGGUCUAUAAACUAUGCUUAUUUUAUUUUUGGUGAUGUAAACUAAACAAUUUCCGUAUUUUCGUUUUUCCUUAAACUCUAAUAUUUCCUCGUUAGGGAAAUCAGACUCUUAUCCAAGUUAAGGCCUUAUUUUGAUAAUAAUAUAGUUGGUCCG